UAGUUACGGCCCUGGUGAGGGACUGAGACAUCUACCGAUGGAGAUUCUUUCCAGGAUUACCUGCCUUCAGGGGCAAAUGGGAAGGUAGAACCAAAGCAGGAGACUGACAAUUAGAAGUGAUGUGGGCAAACAGAAGAACAAACAUCUAACACCACAUAACGGAACCUAAGGAUGAUGUAGGGAGAAGUGUUUGCAGCAGUCGCAUUGUAAAAAGAGAAAUGCUGAUAAAUGCCAUUCUGUGGUUCACAAGAGAAGAGUCAGGCUUCUCAGAACUGUUGUUAUUUUUAUGAUACAAUAUAGCCUCCCCAAGUGUAUCAAGCACUAAAAGCAGUUUACAUCUCUGUAAAAGGAAAACGCAAAAGUGAGUUUUUUUUAUUAUAUUACUGGAAUAGGCUUAAAUCAUAUAAAGUGUGAAAUUUAGA